rnacentral:misc_RNA from 1 species
AAGUCGUAACAAGGUUUCCGUAGGUGAACCUGCGGAAGGAUCAUUACUGAGUUUGAAAAGUUCCAGAGCUGGUGUUUUGUUGCACUGGCUUUGGUUCUUUUUACUAUUCUCUUACCCCUUUUGUUAUUAUUCCUUAGUUGCUUUGGCAGUCCAUAGUUGUCUGCCAAGGGAAACUUUACAAACUCCUUUGCUACCAAGAUAAUUGGAUAUGACAGUCAGAAUAGAAUUAUUAUUAAUAAUUUUAAAACUUUCAACAAUGGAUCUCUUGGUUCUG